rnacentral:rRNA from 1 species
AGAGUUUGAUCAUGGCUCAGAUUGAACGCUGGCGGCAGGCCUAACACAUGCAAGUCGAACGGUAACAGGAAGAAGCUUGCUUCUUUGCUGACGAGUGGCGGACGGGUGAGUAAUGUCUGGGAAACUGCCUGAUGGAGGGGGAUAACUACUGGAAACGGUAGCUAAUACCGCAUAACGUCGCAAGACCAAAGAGGGGGACCUUCGGGCCUCUUGCCAUCGGAUGUGCCCAGAUGGGAUUAGCUAGUAGGUGGGGUAACGGCUCACCUAGGCGACGAUCCCUAGCUGGUCCGAGAGGAUGACCAGCCACACUGGAACUGAGACACGGUCCAGACUCCUACGGGAGGCAGCAGUGGGGAAUAUUGCACAAUGGGCGCAAGCCUGAUGCAGCCAUGCCGCGUGUAUGAAGAAGGCCUUCGGGUUGUAAAGUACUUUCAGCGGGGAGGAAGGGAGUAAAGUUAAUACCUCUGCUCAUUGACGUUACCCGCAGAAGAAGCACCGGCUAACUCCGUGCCAGCAGCCGCGGUAAUACGGAGGGUGCAAGCGUUAAUCGGAAUUACUGGGCGUAAAGCGCACGCAGGCGGUUUGUUAAGUCAGAUGUGAAAUCCCCGGGCUCAACCUGGGAACUGCAUCUGAUACUGGCAAGCUUGAGUCUCGUAGAGGGGGGUAGAAUUCCAGGUGUAGCGGUGAAAUGCGUAGAGAUCUGGAGGAAUACCGGUGGCGAAGGCGGCCCCCUGGACGAAGACUGACGCUCAGGUGCGAAAGCGUGGGAAGCAAACAGGAUUAGAUACCCUGGUAGUCCACGCCGUAAACGAUGUCGACUUGGAGGUUGUGCCCUUGAGGCGUGGCUUCCGGAGCUAACGCGUUAAGUCGACCGCCUGGGGAGUACGGCCGCAAGGUUAAAACUCAAAUGAAUUGACGGGGGCCCGCACAAGCGGUGGAGCAUGUGGUUUAAUUCGAUGCAACGCGAAGAACCUUACCUGGUCUUGACAUCCACGGAAGUUUUCAGAGAUGAGAAUGUGCCUUCGGGAACCGUGAGACAGGUGCUGCAUGGCUGUCGUCAGCUCGUGUUGUGAAAUGUUGGGUUAAGUCCCGCAACGAGCGCAACCCUUAUCCUUUGUUGCCAGCGGUCCGGCCGGGAACUCAAAGGAGACUGCCAGUGAUAAACUGGAGGAAGGUGGGGAUGACGUCAAGUCAUCAUGGCCCUUACGACCAGGGCUACACACGUGCUACAAUGGCGCAUACAAAGAGAAGCGACCUCGCGAGAGCAAGCGGACCUCAUAAAGUGCGUCGUAGUCCGGAUUGGAGUCUGCAACUCGACUCCAUGAAGUCGGAAUCGCUAGUAAUCGUGGAUCAGAAUGCCACGGUGAAUACGUUCCCGGGCCUUGUACACACCGCCCGUCACACCAUGGGAGUGGGUUGCAAAAGAAGUAGGUAGCUUAACCUUCGGGAGGGCGCUUACCACUUUGUGAUUCAUGACUGGGGUGAAGUCGAACAAGGUA